rnacentral:rRNA from 1 species
AGACUGGAUAGGAAACAAAAAGGCAUCUUUUUGUUUUUAAAAGACCUUCUUACGAAGGUAUGCUUAAAGAGGGGCUUGCGCCACAUUAGUUAGUUGGUAGAGUAAAAGCCUACCAAGACGAUGAUGUGUAGCUGGACUGAGAGGUUGAACAGCCACAUUGGGACUGAGACACGGCCCAAACUCCUACGGGAGGCAGCAGUAGGGAAUUUUCGGCAAUGGAGGAAACUCUGACCGAGCAACGCCGCGUGAACGAUGAAGUAUUUCGGUAUGUAAAGUUCUUUUAUUGAAGAAGAAAAAGUAGUGGAAAAACUAUAUUGACGUUAUUCAAUGAAUAAGCCCCGGCUAACUAUGUGCCAGCAGCCGCGGUAAGACAUAGGGGGCGAGCGUUAUCCGGAAUUAUUGGGCGUAAAGGGUGCGUAGGCUGUUAGAUAAGUCUAUAAUUUAAUUUCAGUGCUUAACGCUGUCUUGUUAUAGAAACUGUCUUGACUAGAGUGAGAUAGAGGCAAGCGGAAUUCCAUGUGUAGCGGUAAAAUGUGUAAAUAUAUGGAGGAACACCAGAAGCGUAGGCGGCUUGCUGGGUCUUUACUGACGCUGAGGCACGAAAGCGUGGGUAGCAAACAGGAUUAGAUACCCUGGUAGUCCACGCCGUAAACGAUGAGUACUAAGUGUCGGGGUAAAACUCGGUACUGAAGUUAACACAUUAAGUACUCCGCCUGAGUAGUACGUACGCAAGUAUGAAACUUAAAGGAAUUGACGGGACUCCGCACAAGCGGUGGAUCAUGUUGUUUAAUUCGAAGAUACACGAAAAAUCUUACCAGGUCUUGACAUACUCUGCAAAGCUAUAGAAAUAUAGUGGAGGUUAUCAGGGAUACAGGUGGUGCAUGGUUGUCGUCAGUUCGUGUCGUGAGAUGUUAGGUUAAGUCCUAAAACGAACGCAACCCUUGUCGUUAAUUGCCAGCACAUAAUGGUGGGGACUUUAACGAGACUGCCAAUUAAACAUUGGAGGAAGGUGAGGAUUACGUCAAAUCAUCAUGCCCCUUAUGAUCUGGGCUACAAACGUGAUACAAUGGCUGUGACAAAGAGUAGCUGAAACGCGAGUUUUUAGCCAAUCUCAAAAAAGCAGUCUCAGUUCGGAUUGAAGUCUGUAACUCGACUUCAUGAAGUUGGAAUCGCUAGUAAUCGCGAAUCAGCAUGUCGCGGUGAAUACGUUCUCGGGGUUUGUACACACCGCCCGUCAAACCACGAAAGUUAGCAAUGCCCGAAAGCAGUAGCUUAACUUCGCAAGAAGAGGGAACUGUCUAAGGUAGGGUUGAUGAU